GAUGAACGCUAGCGGAAGGCAUAAUACAUGCAAGUCGAACGGAUGUAGCAAUACAUUAGUGGCGCACGGGUGCGUAACGCGUAUGCAACCUGCCUUCAUCAGGGGGAUAACUACCCGAAAGGGUGGCUAACACCGCAUAAUACUAUUGAGUGGCAUCACUUGGUAUUUAAAUCUGAGGAGGAUGAAGAUGGGCAUGCGUCUGAUUAGCUAGUUGGUGUGGUAACGGCGCACCAAGGCGACGAUCAGUAGGGGAACUGAGAGGUUGGUCCCCCACACUGGCACUGAGAUACGGGCCAGACUCCUACGGGAGGCAGCAGUAGGGAAUAUUGGUCAAUGGUGGGAACACUGAACCAGCCAUUCCGCGUGCAGGAAGAAGGGUCUCUGACUUGUAAACUGCUUUAGCAAGGGAAGAAAAAGCUCAUGCGUGAGAAAUUGACGGUACCUUGAGAAUAAGCACCGGCUAACUACGUGCCAGCCGCCGCAGUAACAC
rnacentral:rRNA from 1 species